UUGACCUCGGAUCAGGUAGGAAUACCCGCUGAACUUAAGCAUAUCAAAUAGCGGAGGA
rnacentral:rRNA from 1 species